rnacentral:rRNA from 1 species
CCUACGGGAGGCUGCAGUGAGGAAUAUUGGACAAUGGCCGGAAGCCUGAUGCAGCCAUGCCGCGUGAGUGACAGUGCCCUUUGGGCUGUAAAGUUCUUUCGUCCGGGAGCAAUAAUGGUCACGUCUGACCAGCCGAGCGUACCGUACGAAUAAGCAGCGGCUACCCCCGUGCCAGCAGCCGCGGUAAUACGGGGGAUGCAAGCGUUAGCCGGAUUUAUUGGGGUGAAAGGGUGCGUAGGCUGGGAGGUAAGUCAGCGGGGGAAUGCCCCGGCGCAACGGGGUGAAGUGCCAUUGAUACUGGCUGGCUGGAAUGCGGAUGCGGUGGGAGGAAUGUGUGGUGUAGCGGUGAAAUGCGUAGAUAUCAGGCAGAACACCGAUUGCGAAGGCAUCUCAUGGGUCCGCGAUUGACGCUGAUGCACGAAAGCGUGGGUAGCAAACAGGAUUAGAUACCCGAGUAGUC